CCCUUCGAUGUUCUGGGCUGCACGCGCGCUACACUGAUGCGUUCAACGAGUGUACAACCUUGCCCGAUAGGGUUGGGUAACCUUUUGAACACGCAUCGUGAUGGGGAUAGAUUAUUGCAAUUAUUAAUCUUCAACGAGGAAUUCCUAGUAAUGGCGAAUCAUCAGUUCGUCGUGAUUACGUCCCUGCCCUUUGUACACACCGCCCGUCGCUCCUACCGAUUGAGCAAUCCGGUGAAUAUUUCGGACCGAAUAGCUGCGGGGCAACCCAUAGCCGUUUGGAAAGUCAAGUAAACCUUAUUGCUUAGAGGAAGGAGAAGUCGUAACA
rnacentral:rRNA from 1 species